UUGAACUUGACUUGAAGCUUUAUUCGGUAUUUGAAAAAGAGCCCGCAAAUAUAUGCAGCUACAGUACUUUUGACAACUGCCAAAAAUAUGGAAUGUAAUGUGGAUUGGAUUUGUUUAAAAUUCUCGAUAGUGGCUUGCAGGUUAUAAAGUUAGCCGCCUUAGU